rnacentral:rRNA from 1 species
AGAGUUUGAUCCUGGCUCAGGAUGAACGCUAGCUACAGGCUUAACACAUGCAAGUCGAGGGGAAACGAUAGAGAAAGCUUGCUUUUUCUAGGCGUCGACCGGCGCACGGGUGAGUAACGCGUAUCCAACCUGCCCAUCACUUGGGGAUAACCUUGCGAAAGUAAGACUAAUACCCAAUGAUAUCUCUAGAAGACAUCUGAAAGAGAUUAAAGAUUUAUCGGUGAUGGAUGGGGAUGCGUCUGAUUAGCUUGUUGGCGGGGUAACGGCCCACCAAGGCGACGAUCAGUAGGGGUUCUGAGAGGAAGGUCCCCCACAUUGGAACUGAGACACGGUCCAAACUCCUACGGGAGGCAGCAGUGAGGAAUAUUGGUCAAUGGGCGGAAGCCUGAACCAGCCAAGUAGCGUGCAGGAUGACGGCCCUCUGGGUUGUAAACUGCUUUUAGUUGGGAAUAAAGUGCAGCUCGUGAGCUGUUUUGUAUGUACCAUCAGAAAAAGGACCGGCUAAUUCCGUGCCAGCAGCCGCGGUAAUACGGAAGGUCCAGGCGUUAUCCGGAUUUAUUGGGUUUAAAGGGAGCGCAGGCGGACCUUUAAGUCAGCUGUGAAAUACGGCGGCUCAACCGUCGAACUGCAGUUGAUACUGGAGGUCUUGAGUGCACACAGGGAUGCUGGAAUUCAUGGUGUAGCGGUGAAAUGCUCAGAUAUCAUGAAGAACUCCAAUCGCGAAGGCAGGCAUCCGGGGUGCAACUGACGCUGAGGCUCGAAAGUGCGGGUAUCAAACAGGAUUAGAUACCCUGGUAGUCCGCACAGUAAACGAUGAAUACUCGCGAUUUGCGAUACACAGUAAGUCGCCAAGCGAAAGCGUUAAGUAUUCCACCUGGGGAGUACGCCGGCAACGGUGAAACUCAAAGGAAUUGACGGGGGCCCG